AACGAACGCUGGCGGCAUGCCUAACACAUGCAAGUCGAACGAGACCUUCGGGUCUAGUGGCGCACGGGUGCGUAACGCGUGGGAACCUGCCCUUAGGUUCGGAAUAACUCCCCGAAAGGGGUGCUAAUACCGGAUAAUGUCUUCGGACCAAAGAUUUAUCGCCUUUGGAUGGGCCCGCGUUGGAUUAGCUAGUUGUUAGGGUAAAAGCCUACCAAGGCGACGAUCCAUAGCUGGUCUGAGAGGAUGAUUAGCCACACUGGGACUGAGACACGGCCCAGACUCCUACGGGAGGCAGCAGUGGGGAAUAUUGGACAAUGGGCGAAAGCCUGAUCCAGCAAUGCCGCGUGAGUGAUGAAGGCCUUAGGGUUGUAAAGCUCUUUUAACCGGGAUGAUAAUGACAGUACCGGGAGAAUAAGCUCCGGCUAACUCCGUG
rnacentral:rRNA from 1 species